GAUGAACGCUAGCUACAGGCUUAACACAUGCAAGUCGAGGGACCCGCGCACGGGUGAGUAACACGUAUCCAACCUGCCCUUUACUCGGUGAUAGCCUUUCGCAAGAGCUAUUACUACCCGAUAUAAUGGAUGGGGUUGCGUUCCAUUAGGUUGUUGGUGAGGUAACCGCUAACCAAGCCUUCGAUGGAUAGGGGUUAUGAGAGGAAGCUACCCCGCGUUGGAACUAAGACACGGUCCAAAAUCGUACGCGAGGCAGCAGUGAGGAAUAUUGGGCAAUGGGCGCUAGCCUGAACCAGCCAAGUAGCGUGAAGAAUGAAGGGUUAGGGGUCGUAAACUAGUUGGAUAUAAGAAUAUGUAUUAGAUGAAUAAGGAUCGGCUAACUCCGUGCCAGCAGCCGCGGUAAUAC
rnacentral:rRNA from 1 species